GUAUACGUUACUUACAACAAUGUUAUAUUACAAUAUUGUUCGAGUCCAAAUUUAUUAUUUAUUACUAUUACCUAUAUUAAGUAUAAAGUGUUCUAACGCUGUCGUGUACUUUUUUUUUAAGUGAUAUUGUUUCGAUGUUUUCAUCUUUGCUAAACUUUCGCGUUAAAAAUAUAUAUUUACGUCGUUUGAAGUACUUAAAUAAUUCACUACAUUCUAAUAUUAUACGGUUUUUGCAAAAUAAAUUAAAACUGUAUUUACCAUAUUUUGUUAAAGUUCGGCUAUUAUAAUUUUUAAGUGAUAAAUUUUUUCUAACGACCUUUAUUUCUUUUCUUAAAAUUAAUAUAUUUUAUUUGAACAUAUUAUUAAUGAAUAUUCAAACAACGUUUACUACUUUGGUUAAUCGUUUGAAGUUUCUGACCCCGUCUUCUUUAAACGUAUUAAUAGACUUCACCAGCAUUAUAAUAUACAGCAAGUCCAUCGUGACACCGACACCGCCAGAAAACAGCUCCGGACAUGACAUAUUGAACCCAUAUGCAGGAAUGGACAAAGGAGUCAACGUCAUGUCGUCAUAUACUAAACAGCGGGAGAGAAAACAUUAAAAGCUAUACCUGUGUAAUAAAAGAGGGUGUCGACGCACACUUGCACUAUACUUGCACUACUUACCCAUAUUACACGUGAAGAUUUCGGUAAAAAUUCGCUCAAUUAUCAAGCUUGUCGGCGCUGCGUCGUCGUACACCAUGAUGAUGAUUAUUAUUAUUAAACCUGCACGUGACGCAAUAAUUGCUUUCAGAUGCGGCGAUAUCCGAUCGAAACGAAUUAUUGUAAACCUAACUAUGAUACACUAUACCGAAUAUUACUGUCACGUACAUUUAAUUGACAAAGAAGACCGGUGGUGCCGUUGCAUUGAAUUAUUAAUCAUCGCCUGACAUGUGGUAAUGUGAUCGCCAAACGUGAUAACGCCGCUCACCAAAUUACCUUAAUGCUCUAUGUGUAUACGACCCGGCUCGGGGUUUUAUGGACUUUGGGUGUCAACGUGCCGUACAAGGAGGGGGUGGCGGACGGCAUGUUACAUUGUCCUAAGACCGCGAAAUGUGUGUAUACCAUACCACGGUAUAAACACACACACGCACACACACGCACACACACACACACACACACACCUAUAUACAUAAAAAAGGCGAGUCGCUUUUAAAGUCGCCGUACGAGUGAUAAUUAAUUACAAAACCGUAUCUAUUUGUUUUAGGCAACGAAAACGAAAAACUUCAUUAAUCUAAUAUGUAUAUUAUACAUAGUAAUAUACGACGCCGUGCUGGCUAUACAACUCGUAACAGCUGCAGUUUUCAGUAAUAAUAUUAUUAUUAUAUUUUUUUUUAUCAUCAUAGGAAUAAAGGCUUCAACAGUAAGGUAUCUUUACCCUAUACAUCAUAUUAUACAUAUUUCAGAUGUCUUAUCACACAACUUAUUUUAACUUUAACUAAUAAUUAGGGUUUGUGAUAGCAUUAUACAGUGGAAAUAUUUUAUAUUUUUUACUGUUAAUAACUUUUAUAUCAUACCUGUAUAAAUAUUGGUAUCGAUACGGAUGUUUUAGUAAUAUUAUUAUUGUGUAGUAAGUUAGUCACCGCGAGGCCGAAUAAUAGUAUACAAAUAAAAAUAAUCGCAAUAGUAUUAUAUUAUUUGUCAUAAAUGUACUCUUAUAUUAUAUUAAUUCAUUAUGUUACUAUUAUUCAUAUUGUAUUUUUAAGCGCAGGAUCAUAUGUGGUAUUUAGUGCCUUAGUGGACAUAUUUUAGUUAUUCUACUAUUAGCAAUACAAGUGCUCACGGUUUAAGGUAGACAAAAUAUAUUAAUUUGAAAAAAAAUUAAUGACGAGUUGAAAAAUAAGACGCAUUGUA